rnacentral:rRNA from 1 species
UACGGAGGGGGUUAGCGUUGUUCGGAAUUACUGGGCGUAAAGCGUACGUAGGCGGAUCAGAAAGUUGGGGGUGAAAUCCCGGAGGCUCAACCCGAUGACUGCCUCCAAAACUCCUGGUCUUGAGUUCGAGAGAGGUGAGUGGAAUUCCAAGUGUAGAGGUGAAAUUCGUAGAUAUUUGGAGGAACACCAGUGGCGAAGGC